rnacentral:rRNA from 1 species
AACGAACGCUGGCGGCAUGCCUAACACAUGCAAGUCGAACGGGAUCCUAGCUUGCUAGGUGAGAGUGGCGGACGGGUGAGUAACGCGUGGGAAUCUGCCUUUUGGUUCGGGAUAACCGCGGGAAACUGCGGCUAAUACCGAAUGCCCUCGAGAGAGGAAAGAUUUAUCGCCAGAAGAGGAGCCCGCGUCCGAUUAGGUAGUUGGUGGGGUAAAGCCUACCAAGCCGACGAUCGGUAGCUGGUCUGAGAGGAUGAUCAGCCACACUGGGACUGAGACACGGCCCAGACUCCUACGGGAGGCAGCAGUGGGGAAUAUUGGACAAUGGGGGCAACCCUGAUCCAGCAAUGCCGCGUGAGUGAUGAAGGCCUUAGGGUUGUAAAGCUCUUUUGCCAGGGAAGAUGAUGACUGUACCUGGAGAAUAAGCCCCGGCUAACUUCGUGCCAGCAGCCGCGGUAAU